CAGCCGCCACGGUAAUACGAAGGGUGCAAGCGUUACUCGGAAUUACUGGGCGUAAAGCGUGCGUAGGUGGUGGUUUAAGUCCGUUGUGAAAGCCCUGGGCUCAACCUGGGAAUUGCAGUGGAUACUGGGUCACUAGAGUGUGGUAGAGGAUAGUGAAAUUUCCGGUGUAGCAGUGAAAUGCGUAGAGAUCGGAAGGAACAUCUGUGGCGAAGGCGACUAUCUGGGCCAACACUGACACUGAGGCACGAAAGCGUGGGGAGCAAACAGGAUUAGAUACCCCUGUAGUCCCUGUCUCUUAUAC
rnacentral:rRNA from 1 species